GUGUAAGUUAUUAAGGGCACACGGUGGAUGCCUUGGCAUUAAGAGCCGAUGAAGGACGUGUGAAUCUGCGAUAAGCCUCGGGGAGCCGAUAACUGGGCUGUGAUCCGAGGAUUUCCGAAUGGGGAAACCUGGCUCAUCUUCAUGGUGAGUUACCGCCAGCUGAAUGUAUAGGCUGGUUGGGGGGAACGCGGGGAAGUGAAACAUCUCAGUACCCGCAGGAAGAGAAAAUAAAGUAAUGAUUCUGUGAGUAGUGGCGAGCGAAAGCGGAAGAGACUAAACCUGUGGUGUGUGAUAGCGGUUAGGCGUUGCAUCAUGGGGGUUGUGGGAGUCACAGUGGCAGUUCUAACUGGCUGCCGGCAUGAUGUUCAGGAUGGUAGGUGAACGACUUGGAAUGGUCGGCCGUAGAGGGUGAGAGUC
rnacentral:rRNA from 1 species